UGUGACCAACGUUUCCCGCCUUUCGUCUCGGUCGUGUUGUGCGGACUCCCCUCGGCGCACGGUCCGAUCCGUGCGAUUGUUGGUUUUCGUCGAUAUAUUGUUCAAGCAAGAGAUUGCGACGACGUUUGACGAUCUUCAGGAUAGGACUCGCUGGGAAUUUUACCGCAGGAAGCAUUUUCAAUAAGGAAUCCUUUGUGGCCUGUGAACAGCAGCUUCCUUUCACCGAGGCUGUAGACUUUUAGAGGCUACCUGUCUUUUACUUCUGAGCUACUACAUUUUCAACUUAGCUUAUACAGACCCUGUCACGACUACACUGGAAUUUCUUCUGAGGGAGAUGUUCAACGUAAACCCAGAAAGGGACAGUAAAUUGUCUAACGGCCGCAAAUCAAGGACCACUAUGGACAACAGGAUAAUGAAGUUGGUGCAGUGGACAACAAGAUGAUGAAGUUGGUGCAGCAGUUGCGCUGAAGAACUGAUGUUGUAAACCAUAAGACAUGGUGCGAUUGGCAAAAUAAAUUCCACCUGUGUAUGUUCAGAA